GAUAAACGCUGGCGGCGUGCCUAACACAUGCAAGUCGAACGCCCUGGAGCAAUUCAGGGAGUGGCGGACGGGUGAGGAACACGUGGGUGAUCUGCCUUGAGGUGAGGAAUACCGGCGAGAAAUCGCCGACAAUACCGCAUAGGUUCGUAAGAACAAAGUCGCAAGACGCCUUGAGAUGAGCCUGCGUCCGAUUAGCCAGUUGGUGGGGUAAUGGCCUACCAAAGCAGCGAUCGGUAGCUGGUCUGAGAGGACGAUCAGCCACACUGGGAUUGAGAACGGG
rnacentral:rRNA from 1 species